GCCCCUAUAGCUCAGCUGGUAGAGCAUUGGACUUUUAAUCCAAGUGUCGCGGGUUCAAUCCCCGCUGGGGGCU